UACGAAGGGUGCAAGCGUUACUCGGAAUUACUGGGCGUAAAGCGUGCGUAGGUGGUUUGUUAAGUCUGUUGUGAAAGCCCCGGGCUCAACCUGGGAAUGGCAAUGGAUACUGGCAAGCUAGAGUGCGGUAGAGGGUAGUGGAAUUCCCGGUGUAGCAGUGAAAUGCGUAGAGAUCGGGAGGAACACCAGUGGCGAAGGCGGGCUACCUGGACCAGCACGUGAC
rnacentral:rRNA from 1 species